CACCCACUCUUUUCAUUUUCCAAUUUUCUCUCUCAUCUACCUUCUCUCGUCUCUCUUCCUUUUUCUAUCAUCGUCGAAAAUUAUUUCAAUGUUGGCUCUAGUGAGCCCACCUCCAACAUUCGAGCCAGUCAGCUUACCACUGUCGACUGCUCUAGUCCACUAUCCACCGUCUCCAGUUUUCGAGGCAUCAACAUCACCAGAUCUGGCUUCUACGCACCAAAGUGAGACUUCGGCUAAGGCUCUGUCUCAGAGCAAGAGGCACACUUCACCUUCAUAUGCUUUAGCUCCGAAGCUUAUGAGCCCACCCGCAACUCCAACGGAAGCCCCCAAACCUAGGCCGAUUCUAUUCAGUCAGUGGACUUUUACCUAGUUUCAUCAAGAGAGCCACACAGGUGCAAUAUUCAUAUAUAAAUUUUCUAUCUUCCUUAAGAAAAUUAGUCAAGUUUCUGAAUGUUAUCAAAAGAAUUUUUAAUUGAAUGUUGUCAUUAUGUUAAAAUGGCUAUUGUUUCUUUUCUUCUUCUUCUUUUUGGUUAUUGAUAGGUUUGUUUUGUAUCUUACUUCAAAAAUGAUUUACACGAACUUGGAAUAAUUUUUGGGUUUGAUAGAUUGAGAACAAAAAUAAGGAAAUGUAGUCAGUAUUAUUUUUGUGUUUUUGGGUUAUUUGAGAGUGAAGUGGGAAUAAUUAGGAAAUAUGUGCUCAUGUGCUGCAGAUAGUGCUUUCGGAGCAAUGCCAACGAAAUUGGCUUUAUCAAGUGUUGUUGAGCUGUGAAUGUUUGAAUUUCUGCCACUGGAAGGAGGGCUUUCCUUACUGGGAUGUUUUUGGAUCUCUAAAAGCAUAUUUUUUUAUUACAAAAAAAUGGGUUGUAAUUGAUAAAUAUUAUUCUAACCAUCACAAAAAAAAUGGUAUGGCUUACUAUUUUCGGUUAUGGUGAUGAUAAGUUGUGAUGAUGGUCUGUAGUGUGUUCAAUUUAUUUGUAGUGUCCUUCUGUGAUCAAAUCUGUGUUAAUUGUGAUUAGGUAUGACCAAUCUUGUGUUAAUUGUGACUGAAUGUAAUUGUUUACGUUGUGGUGUUAGUCUGUAGCCGGUGUAGAUUUUUCUGUCGUGACCUUCUGUGACCAAGUAUGUAUUAGUUGUGACCAAUUUUGUGUUAAUUGUGAUCAACUAUGACUAUAUGUGUUGUAGUGUUAGUCUGCAGUGUGUGCGAAUUUAUUUGUG
rnacentral:lncRNA from 1 species